GGAGAGGGAGCCUGAGAGACGGCAACCAUAUCCAAGGAUAGCAGCAGGCGCGUAAAUUACCCACUGUGGACUCCACGAGGUAGUGACGAGAAAUAUCGAUGCGAAGCGUGUAUGCGUUUUGCUAUCGGAAUGAGAGCAAUGUAAAACCCUCAUCGAGGAUCAACUGGAGGGCAAGUCUGGUGCCAGCAGCCGCGGUAAUUCCAGCUCCAGAAGCAUAUGCUAAAGUUGUUGCAGUUAAAAAGCUCGUAGUUGAAUUUCUGGCAUGGGCGACCGGUGCUUUCCCUGAAUGGGGAUUGAUUGUCUGUGUUGCCUUGGCCAUCUUUYUCUUKUYUUUWUUGGKRAGAAAUCUUUCACUGUAAUCAAAGCAGAGUGUUCCAAGCAGGUCGUAUGACCGGUAUGUUUAUUAUGGGAUGAUAAGAUAGGACUUGGGUGCUAUUUUGUUGGUUUGCACGCCUGAGUAAUGGUUAAUAGGAACAGUUGGGGGUAUUCGUAUUUAGGAGCUAGAGGUGAAAUUCUUGGAUUUCCGAAAGACGAACUAGAGCGAAGGCAUUUACCAAGCAUGUUUUCAUUAAUCAAGAACGAAAGUCUGGGGAUCGAAGAUGAUUAGAUAC
rnacentral:rRNA from 1 species